UCACUUCUUCGUCAAUUUCUCAUACGAGGCGCAAAGUUUAAAAGAAUUUCGUUUCGUCCGAGUGCAGGUAUGAAUUGAACAAAUUUUGACCCGAGGCGCGUUCAUUGUUUUUUUAUCACAACUAACUGACGCAACCAAACAACCCACCUAUGAGGAAGACGAAUGAUGAGAAAAUGACAAGGACGGCCGCGUUUUUUCUGCGGUAAAACCAAUUUCGCUUGGUUGAUUGAUUGAGCGUAUUCAGCGAUGCGGGAGAAAUAGGAUAAUUCACAGACAUCUCUACUUAACGCAAAAAACCGUCCUUCGACCUGGUUGAAAUAUUAUACUCGAAAAAGGCCAAAUAUGAUUCGGCAAACUUUGUUUCAAAAUGCUUCGUAAGCAUGCUUGGUAAGGAGUUUUCUGCAUUCAAACUUGGCAGCUGCCAAGAUCGUGGUGUCGGUGCAUCUCGCUAUAAAAAGCACCGAUCUGGCGUCAGCCUGAGUAAAGUUGAGCGUCUACCUCUGCUGGUCGCUGUGAGUCAACUUGUUCGUACACUACAGCCACUGAAAAUUAUGCCAGCAAACCUGGCAUAAUCCUCCCGAUCCGCCACGUCCAAAGCCAGACCCACAAUGGGAUCCGCCACAACCAGAUCUCAACCGAAUUUUCGCAAAAAACCAUCGAAAACAAAGCAAUUCAAGUGUAAGAACAAGGGAACACAUUUGCGUCAGGGAUAGCUAGCCAUGAGUUGCCAUUUAGCUGAAGGCCAAGUUAAUGGACAUCGACUCCAGCAUAGUUUCCCUGAUAAAUGGAGAGAGGGCAGUAAUUUUGUGAUUCCAGUUAACAGACUCAUAUGCAUAACAGCAAAAAAAGGCUUAUAAUAAAUUACUACACGAAGUACGCAGACGCAACUUAGUCGCCACGCAAUAAGAUUGCUUUCAUCGCGUCUCGCUAUAAAAAGCAGUGAUCUGGCGUCAGCUUGAGUUAAGUUGAGCGUCUCUUUCUGCUGGUCGCUGUGAGUCAACUUGUUCGUACGCUACAGUCACUGAAAAUUAUGCCACCAAAACCAGAUCCAACCACUCCAGAUCCGUCAUAUCCAAGGCCGAAACCAAAGCCGAACAAGGGCUGAAAUCGACUCUGUUAAGGAUUGGAAAAGGUUGGCGCGAAUGAUCAGUGAUUUAAAAGAUGCCAAAGACCAAGUUUUAGAAGGAGGAGUAAUGAAGCCCUUUUGCACAAGGACUGAUGCAGUUUCUCGUGUUCAAUUACUUGCAGUUGUCACUAUUUGUUCGCGUUGCGAAGCCUAAAACAAAAUUAUUCACUAGCAUGACGAAAGCAAUAGUAGUCGAGCUUGAGUUUGCAGAUGAUAUGAUUAUGGUUUUCACAAAGGUUAUCAUCAUAGCUCGUUUAGCUUGAAAUCGAUUCUAUUUGGGUUAGUUCUUGGUUAGGAUUCUCACUUCCAAGAGAUUUCACAAUCGAGUAUUUCUCAACCUUAGACACUUUUGGAACGUAUGAUUUCUGACGCUGUUUAUUUGAACUACGUUCGAUGACAAAGCAUUCCAGCAUUUCAGUCAUCAUUCCGCUCGCGGAGAGGAGAAAGCAGAAGAACUGAUGUAAAAGUUCUGACAGAUAUAGGGUCAAUAAACU